UAUGGCCACAUCAUGUUGAAACACUAGUUACCAUAUGAUCACUGAAGUUAAGCAAUGUAGAGUCUGCUCAGAACCUUGAUGGGUGACUUCUUUGGGAAUACCAGGUGCUGUAAG